rnacentral:rRNA from 1 species
UACGUAGGGCGCAAGCGUUGUCCGGAAUUAUUGGGCGUAAAGAGCUCGUAGGCGGCUUGUCACGUCGGGUGUGAAAGCUCGGGGCUUAACCCCGGGUCUGCAUUCGAUACGGGCUGGCUGGAGUGUGGUAGGGGAGAUCGGAAUUCCUGGUGUAGCGGUGAAAUGCGCAGAUAUCAGGAGGAACACCGGUGGCGAAGGCGGAUCUCUGGGCCAUUACUGACGCUGAGGAGCGAAGGCGUGGGGAGCGAACAGG